rnacentral:rRNA from 1 species
CCUACGGAGGACAGCAGUCGAGAAUCAUUCACAAUGGGGGAAACCCUGAUGGUGCGACGCCGCGUGGGGGAAUGAAGGUCUUCGGAUUGUAAACCCCUGUCAUGUGGGAGCAAAUUAAAAAGAUAGUACCACAAGAGGAAGAGACUGCUAACUCUGUGCCAGCAGCCGCGGUAAUACAGAGGUCUCAAGCGUUGUUCGGAAUCACUGGGCGUAAAGCGUGCGUAGGCUGUUUCGUAAGUCGUGUGUGAAAGGCGCGGGCUCAACCCGAGGACGGCACAUGAUACUGCGAGACUAGAGUAAUGGAGGGGGAACCGGAAUUCUCGGUGUAGCAGUGAAAUGCGUAGAUAUCGAGAGGAACACUCGUGGCGAAGGCGGGUUGCUGGACAUUAACUGACGCUGAGGCACGAAGGCGAGGGGAGCGAAAGGGAUUAGAUACCCGGGUAGUC